rnacentral:lncRNA from 1 species
ACUAAUUAGGAAUGUGCCUGGUCAACAGAGAAAUAGACGCCUUUCACAGAAAACCACUGGAGGAGAUACUCACAAAAAAUGAAGGGGAAGAACAGGAAACAGGAAGACAUGAGAUGAAGGAAACAGGAGAUUCAACAUGGGUAAGGGUCGUUCUUCAAAAUAAGUAGAGUAAGCAUGCUUCUGAGACAGGAGAUGGGGGAAUGAAGAUACAUUUGGACAUGGUAGGGGAAAGUUGAGGGAAUUUACAUUUCUCCUUUCUCAGUGGUGAAGGCAAGGUUACCUCCUGAGAGUGAGUAGUUGGAAGUUUUGGGAACAGACAGGCUUGGGACAGUUGCUGUGGGGAACAAGAAGAGGAUCGAAAUCACUAGGAAUAAAAGGAUUGUUGAGCAGUAUUCAGUAUUAGGAGGAGGUUUGUAGUGAAGCCUGUCAGUUUUAUUUAUUAUUUUUUAGAGACGAAGUCUUGCUACCUUUAGGAGAUAACACGCGUGACCAUAGCCACUGUGACCUCGAACUCCUAGCUUCAAGCUAUCCUCCUGCUUCAAGGCUUGUCAAUUUUAGAAAUGAAGAUAGUUUUUCUGUCAGGCAGCUUUAGUGCUGUUUAUUGGAGAUCACUUUAUCUUGAGAUGCUCUGAAGAUGCAUUUUGC